UAUUCUGCGUGGGAUGGGCACAGUCAAAAAGCUACAAGCUGAUGCAAGUCAACUUCCAGUCAAUGUCGUCAUUCGUGUCAUUUCCAGGAUAUAUGCGCGCGAGCCUCAUUGCUCCGAUCACCCUUCCCGCAAGGCGCUGAUUCCAUGGCAAUGGCAAAGCUUCGCUGCCCCAAACCAGAAUUGCGCUUCUCUGUCUGUCUCCUCCUCCUCCUCCUCCUCCUUCUCCCCCAGCUUUCACUUCUCUCAUCAACCUACACUGCACCUGACAAGUACUUCAUCAACUGCGGCUCAGACUCCAACGUCACAGCCGGUGGCGGCCGGAUCUUCGUCGGAGACGAGAAACCCGGUUCCUUGGCCCUCUCCACCGGCAAAAGCAGUUCUGUAAAUGACGCCAGCUCGUCGAGCGCCGCCUCUCCUCUUCUGUAUCAAACGGCAAGAAUCUUCACAACCCCUUCUUCAUACGACCUAGAAAUCGACCAAAACGGCACUUACAUGGUCCGCCUCCAUUUCUACCCUUUUUCAUCUCGCAAGAAUCUCUUCGAUGCCCAAUUCAGCGUUUCGGCUUCCCGGUUCCCUUUGUUAUCGAAUUUCAGCGUACGAAACACUAGUACCUCGCCUGUGAUUAAGGAAUUUCUGCUGCCCAAUAUUAGCGCGGGAAAAUUCAGAAUCUAUUUCACUCCUCAAGAACCACCUCUGGCCUUUGUAAAUGCAAUAGAAGUGUUUGUCGCCCCCGAUGAUUUCAUCCCAGAUUCGGCCACUCAUGUCACUGCUUCAGGGGGAAACAGUAAACUCGGUGGCUUGCUUUCUCAUGCUUUUCACCCAGUUCACAGGAUCAACGUUGGGGGCGAAAUUCUCACGGCUGAUAACGAUACUUUGUGGAGAAAUUGGGUUCCUGAUGAUGAAUAUCUAUUUUCCUCUGAGGCAGCAAAGAACAGUAGGCGCAGUGAUCCGCCCAAUUACCAGGAUGGAAGAGCAGAUAAGUACGAUGCUCCUGAUCUUGUCUAUAAUACUGCUAAAGAAAUGAAUACAAGUUCUGAUAGGGACUACGACUUUUUCAAUAUAACGUGGCGUUUUGGUGUGGAUAAAAAUGCUAGGCAUCUUGUUCGAGUACAUUUUUGCGACAUAAUAAGCAAAAGCGUCAAUGAUACUCAGUUCAAUCUCUACGUUUACAGCAACUUCAGUAAGGUAAUAGAUCCAUAUGAGGAGAUUGGCCAUCUCGCGGCUCCUUUUUACUAUGAUUUGGUGGUUGAGUCUGAUAAUUCUGGCAUUAUGAACAUAAGUGUUGGCCCUCGGAAUGGUACCCAUGUUCAAACAGCCUUUCUGAAUGGGCUAGAGAUCAUGGAGCUUAUACAGGAAUCAGGAUCGGUGCCUGAUGAAAACGAGUCAUCGAAGAACUAUUUGCUUGUCAUAGUUGGUUCUGUGGUUGGAGGUGUGGCUCUUCUGAUCUCAUUGGCGGUGGUGUUCUUGUUGUGUUUCAAGUAUAGGAAAGCAAAACCUGUUGAAGUUUCGGAUUGGCUGGCCAUCCCUCUGUUUGGAGGAAUGCGUUCACCUGGCGAGAGUAGGGAAAGAACUGCCACUGUCUCCCGCUCCCCUGUUUGCAAUCUUAAUCUCGGGUUGAAGCUAUCUUUUGCAGACAUUCAGUAUGCAACUAAUAAUUUUGACAUGAAGUUGUUGAUUGGUGAGGGUGGAUUUGGGAAAGUUUACAAGGGAACUCUCCGAAGUGGUAUAAAAGUGGCUGUCAAACGGAGCCAGCCAGGACAUGGCCAGGGCUUCCCAGAAUUCCAGACAGAGAUCACGGUCUUGUCCAAAAUUCGCCAUCGCCAUCUUGUUUCCUUGAUCGGAUAUUGUGAUGAGAGGUCUGAGAUGAUACUUGUUUACGAGUUCAUGGAGAGGGGGACUUUAAGGGACCAUCUCUAUGGUUCGAAUCGUGACAAUGAGAAAUCAACAGUGAGCUUUGAAUUGUCUUGGAUCCGAAGGCUUGAAAUUUGCAUUGGUGCUGCAAAGGGUCUACAUUAUCUUCACAGCAGUUCAGACAUCUGCAUCAUUCACAGGGAUGUUAAGUCAACAAACAUCUUACUUGAUUUUCAUUUUGUGGCUAAAGUUUCUGAUUUUGGCAUCUCAAGAUUAGGUCCUCUUGAUCAAACCCAUGUCAGCACGGUUGUGAAAGGCACUUUCGGUUAUCUAGAUCCUGAAUAUUUCAGAUGCCUACAGUUGACUAAGAAAUCGGAUGUAUUCUCAUUUGGGGUGGUUCUCCUGGAAGUGCUUUGUGCAAGACGACCCAUUAGUAACUUGCUUCCCGCAGAGGAAAUAAACUUGGCUGAAUGGGGCUUGUCCUGGCAUAAGAAAGGGGAGCUUGAGAAAAUUAUCGAUCCUUUGCUUGUGGGGAAAAUCAAUCCCAACUCGUUGAGAAUGUUUGGUGGAAUAGUGGAGAAGUGUCUGAGGGAGUACGGUGUUGACAGGCCGAGUAUGCAUGAUGUUUUGUGGGAUUUGGAAUAUGCGCUGCAGCUCCAACAGACUGCUAGGAACCGAGAACCUCAUGAAGACAGCACGCCAGACCCGUCAUGGGUGCUCCCGGUGCCUGCAUUUGCUCACCUACCUUCUGAAAGCAUCUCGAUUAGCAACGAUGAGAUACCUAUGGCUGGUUUCUCAGAUUCAAGUCAUCCAAGUGCCAGUGAAGUUUUCUCCCUGAUAAAAAUUGAUGAAGCCAGAUAAUCUUGCAGUAUGAGGUCUGACUUCUGGUCUUCUAAGUAUGUUUGGUAAGGAAUUGCUGGAGUAAUCUUGCAAUACUUUGUCAAAUAGCUUUUGCUUCUUUCUAUGGUUCAGGUUGCGAAUUAGGUGAAACAGGUAAAAUGUCCAAAAAAGUGGAUUGUCGAAAUCAGCUUAAGUAUCCAUAAUCCAUGUAUUAUUUGACUUUCAUUGUGUCAAUGUUUGGUAUCUAGAUGUUGAAUUGGACCAUAGAGGCAGCUGGAUGAGAUUUUGCUUUUAUAUUAUCAUCCUAGUUGUUCUUUAGAUACCCUCUCUCGUGUAGUUAUAACCAUUAUUUUGCAAUCUUGUGUGCUUAGCCAGAUGUUCAUGUUUCCCUGAGGCUGAUUCUUCGGCAAUUGUGGAAAAUUAUCUGUGGCAGACAGCUGGAAGAAAAGAAUUUUCCUUUUUACAAUAUGAACUGCCUAGAGGAUGGACAAGAAUUACAUCUACUAAGAAAUCAAUGAGAAAAACAGAGGAAGAAACUGGAAGCGAAUUCCCUAGUGCCCGUUGCCUUUCCUGCUCGGUCCAGAUGCCAACGGGUACAAUUCGUUUCCCCGCAGAAGCCGGUUAUUUGAGUUGCUCAACGAGCCAGAGGGCGCAGCCUGGCCAGCAGACUCAAGUUGAGCCCCACGAACUGAUGAUAAUGAGCCGGCGAUGUCAGACUUGAGCAGCCUGGAAGAAUCAGCCGGAGAUGACAGAGUAAGAACCAGCAGCGUAAUGGCCAUUGCGACAAGAAGAGAACGCCGUCUUGCUGUCGACCUUGUAGUGGUGGUGCUUUUCAGCUCCAUCUCUGGAUUUUGGUUGAACAUCGAAGGAAUUAGCUCCUCUGCAGCAACGUUGGAAGGGGAAGGCUUGGUGCAGCGUCUCUCCAUCGCCUCUGCUUGUUGAGGCUUUAUAUCAGGAGGCAGGGGCUCGCUAAGGACGGUGAAGCGCUUUUUUUCUUUUUUCAAAUGUGGGGCCUUCUUGGAUGCGUUUGACCGAAAUUCUGUGUUAGGUGAUUAGACGGUGAAGAUGGGAUCAUCUCUUCCUAUUUGUAUUUCACAUUUGAGCUCCCACAGUUCCGCCCUUCGCAUAAUGGAAAUGCCAAUCUGAACACGAGAAAGUUGACACUCCAUGCGAUAUUAGGUAAUCUGUGCAUGAGUCACUUGGAGUGUGCUGUGAUAUCGGUAUUAAUAAUGUGUUGUCUAUUCACUUUUACACUCAGUAAUUUUUGUUUUGAGUGA